GGGCCGUUAGCUCAGUUGGUUAGAGCAGAGGACUCAUAAUCCUUUGGUCGUUGGUUCAAGUCCAACACGGCCUACCA
rnacentral:tRNA from 67 species